AACUAGUAAGGACCGAGUGCGAUAUCAUUACAAUCGGUGCAGUAUAGGGAAAUUACUAAUAAAUGAGAAAAAUAACAAAAGAGAGGCGUUAAACAACAAAUCAACUACAUACUCACAACUAAUCAAUUUUUACGCAAGUAUGAGCUCACCUUUGUUUGUUAAUAUUGUCGCUUGCUCUUCUCAGCAUACAAAUAUUCCUUGUAAUAAAGAGCACAGGCUGCCGUUAUUCAUGUCAAUUGAAGGCAAACAACUAUUGGAGCGAAGUAAAAAAUCAGUGUGCUUGGUGCAGUAAGAGAAAAUUUGUUAUUAAAUCGGGAAAACUAUUGAAGAAAAUAUAAAAUAUUAAAUCAGGCAAGUGAAAAAGAAAAUAAAAAAGUGUGUUGUGACAAAUAUAUUUAAAAUUAUUUAAGUGGAGUUAAUGUGAAAAUGUUUUAAAAGUAUGUAGAUAAAUAAAAUUUUUUGAUGUGUGAAUGUGGAUGUAAGCAAAUAAAACUUGAAUGUGUAAAGUUGUAUUAAAACUGACACGUAAAAUAUAUUUGGAAAUUUAAGUGUAAUUUCCUUGCUUGGUUAAACAUUUUAGGUUGAGAAAAGAAACUUCCCUGCUUGACUAAUCACUUGCAGUUGAAAGAAGACACCUAAAGAGGAGGCAUUUUAACGCUCAACUAAAAAUUACAGUUAAAAGG